GAUGAACGCUGGCGGCGUGCCUCAAACAUGCAAGUCGAGCGAGGCUAUGAGUUACCGCAAGGUAAGGCAUAGCCUAGCGGCGAACGGGUGAGUAACACGUGGGUAACCUACCUGGAAGACAGGGAUAACGAUUCGAAAGGGUCGCUAAUACCUGAUAAUAUCCAUCUGCCGGAUGGCGGAGGGAAGAAAGGGGAAACCCGCUUUCAGAUGGGCCCGCGUCCCAUCAGCUAGUUGGUAAGGUAAAGGCUUACCAAGGCGACGACGGGUAGCCGGUCUGAGAGGAUGUACGGCCACACUGGGACUGAGAUACGGCCCAGACUCCUACGGGAGGCAGCAGUUGGGAAUCUUAGGCAAUGGACGAAAGUCUGACCUAGCGACGCCGCGUGAGGGAAGAAGGCCUUCGGGUUGUAAACCUCUGUCAUGGGGAAGAAGGAAGUGACGGUACCCCAAGAGGAAGCCCCUGCUAACUACGUG
rnacentral:rRNA from 1 species